rnacentral:rRNA from 1 species
UACGUAGGGGGGCUAGCGUUGUCCGGAAUCAUUGGGCGUAAAGCGCGUGUAGGCGGUCCGGUAAGUCCGCUGUGAAAGUCGGGGGGCUCAACCCUCGGAUGCCGGUGGAUACUGUCGGGCUUGAGUACGGAAGAGGCGAGUGGAAUUCCUGGUGUAGCGGUGAAAUGCGCAGAUAUCAGGAGGAACACCGAUGGCGAAGGCAGGUCUCUGGGCCAUAACUGACGCUGAGAAGCGAAAGCAUGGGGAGCGAACAGG